AGAGUUUGAUCCUGGCUCAGGACGAACGCUGGCGGCGCGCCUAACACAUGCAAGUCGAACGGAGCUGAGAGGAGCUUGCUUUUCUCAGCUUAGUGGCGAACGGGUGAGUAACGCGUGAGUAACCUGCCCUGGAGUGGGGGACAACAGUUGGAAACGACUGCUAAUACCGCAUAAGCCCACGGCCCGGCAUCGGGCUGAGGGAAAAGGAUUUAUUCGCUUCAGGAUGGACUCGCGUCCAAUUAGCUAGUUGGUGAGGUAACGGCCCACCAAGGCGACGAUUGGUAGCCGGACUGAGAGGUUGAACGGCCACAUUGGGACUGAGACACGGCCCAGACUCCUACGGGAGGCAGCAGUGGGGGAUAUUGCACAAUGGGGGAAACCCUGAUGCAGCGACGCCGCGUGGAGGAAGAAGGUUUUCGGAUUGUAAACUCCUGUCGUUAGGGACGAUAAUGACGGUACCUAACAAGAAAGCACCGGCUAACUACGUGCCAGCAGCCGCGGUAAAACGUAGGGUGCAAGCGUUGUCCGGAAUUACUGGGUGUAAAGGGAGCGCAGGCGGGAAGACAAGUUGGAAGUGAAAUCCAUGGGCUCAACCCAUGAACUGCUUUCAAAACUGUUUUUCUUGAGUAGUGCAGAGGUAGGCGGAAUUCCCGGUGUAGCGGUGGAAUGCGUAGAUAUCGGGAGGAACACCAGUGGCGAAGGCGACCUACUGGGCACCAACUGACGCUGAGGCUCGAAAGCAUGGGUAGCAAACAGGAUUAGAUACCCUGGUAGUCCAUGCCGUAAACGAUGAUUACUAGGUGUUGGAGGAUUGACCCCUUCAGUGCCGCAGUUAACACAAUAAGUAAUCCACCUGGGGAGUACGACCGCAAGGUUGAAACUCAAAGGAAUUGACGGGGGCC
rnacentral:rRNA from 1 species